rnacentral:lncRNA from 1 species
GUUUAAGUAGGCUCAUGUUUGCUGUUACAGAAUGCCUAUGCAUCCGUGUCAAGAACCAAGGCUCACUGGCUUAUGCAAUAUCCUGGCAUGUUAAGAAGUCAUUACCUCCUCCUACACACAGUUCACAAGACACAAUGCAACAGGUGGAUGAAAGACAUGUUAUGUGGGGGUGUUUUGGAAAAAUGAGGCAACAAUGAACCAAAGAGGACAGUGGAAAAGCAGCAGUCAUUUUGCCACCUACUUUUAUGGUCAUUAGUCAGAGCCCACUAGAGACAGCUACGAGCCCCCUGCUCAAGACAGAAGACCCCCACGGAUGUAAUGGGGAAUCUGAAUGGGAGGAGACCCCUCGCAGCAGUCUGCCACCUGCCCACCCCCACCUUGGUGCUGAUGAGGCUUCAUUACUG